CUGCGGCGCUGUCCUUAGACAUGUUGCACUGUUGACGCUGAUGAAGAAUAGGCGGCACCAAAGCUUUAAAGACUAGUAUCUUUUGAAAUUGAAAUUUGCCUCUCAGUCUCUCAAGAAUCAAGAUGCCAAAUAGAUGUGCAGGAUUUGAUUGCUGACAAACCAGGGAUGAGGCUCAAGAGUCAAGAGAUCACCCUGCAUUGGCAAGUGGCUGGAACAACCCCAGUGCCGCACAGUUCUGCGGGAUAUUCCGGCACCUGCUCCACCGCUGCGGCGUCCGGCCCGGCAGCACAGGGAAAGUGGCAGCCCUCGACCCGACCAGCAUCCUGGCAGUCGGUCACACGACCAGCGGACGGGGAGCCAGCCUUACUACCUCGGCCUCCACCACCUCAGACAACGGUGCCACGGCACUCCACAUCAUCACGGAGCACGACUUCCAGCCUGGGCUGUCGUCUGGUGGGCAACAUCGUCACCUACAUCGCAGGGUUCGUGGUGAAGAAGGCGCUCGACUCUGUCAGCUGUUGCACCUGUCAGGAGGCCCUGGUGAGCGACAUCCAGCCGGACGACAUGACACAGCUUUACCACCUCUUCAUCAUCUCUGCCAGAUGAGCUAAGGUGGGGACGGGUUACAUGCCUGGGAUCUGACUGAGACCCGCUCAUACCCUGCCGAAGUGUUGGUGAUUUCAGCGGUCAGCUGUCUCUAGCCGGUGUCAGUGAGUGGCGGCCAGCUGCCGCUGGAGUGGGUAUCUACCGUCGAUAGCUGCUGUGUGGCGGAUAGCGUGGAUUUGGAUGGACACUUCAUAUUAAUGAACAGAUCAAUGUCUGGCCGAUAAAAAACGUAUUUUGUCGAUGAUUGCUUAGUGACUGAGUGGGUCCACUGGCGACCAAUGCAGU